GGAGGGCAGCAGAAAGGCCGCAGGCAGCAGGAUCAAGAUCAGCAUGGUCACUGUCUGGGGAAAGCAACAGUGCUUAAUCUGAGUUGAUACCACUGCUA